CCUACGGGUGGCAGCAGUAGGGAAUCUUCGGCAAUGGACGAAAGUCUGACCGAGCAACACCGCGUGAGUGAAGAAGGUUUUCGGAUCGUAAACUCUGUUGUUAGAGAAGAACAAGUAGGAGAGUAACUGCUCUUACCUUGACGGUAUCUAACCAGAAAGCCGCGGCUAACUACGUGCCAGCAGCCGCGGUAAUACGUAGGUGGCAAGCGUUGUCCGGAUUUAUUGGGCGUAAAGCGAGCGCAGGCGGUCUUUUAAGUCUGAUGUGAAAGCCCUCGGCUCAACCGAGGAAGGUCAUUGGAAACUGGAGGACUUGAGUGCAGAAGAGGAGAGUGGAAUUCCAUGUGUAGCGGUGAAAUGCGUAGAUAUAUGGAGGAACACCAGUGGCGAAGGCGACUCACUGGUCUGUAACUGACGCUGAGGCUCGAGAGCGUGGGGAGCAAACAGGAUUAGAUACCCGUGUAGUC
rnacentral:rRNA from 1 species